rnacentral:rRNA from 1 species
UACGUAGGGGGCAAGCGUUGUCCGGAAUCAUUGGGCGUAAAGAGCGCGUAGGCGGCCCUGUAAGUCCGCUGUGAAAGUCAAGGGCUCAACCCUUGAAUGCCGGUGGAUACUGCAGGGCUAGAGUCCGGAAGAGGCGAGUGGAAUUCCUGGUGUAGCGGUGAAAUGCGCAGAUAUCAGGAGGAACACCGGUGGCGAAGGGCGGGUCUCUGGGCCGAUACUGACGCUGAGGAGCGAAAAGCGUGGGGGAGCGAACAGG